UACGUAGGGUGCAAGCGUUAAUCGGAAUUACUGGGCGUAAAGCGUGCGCAGGCGGUUGUGCAAGACCGAUGUGAAAUCCCCGGGCUUAACCUGGGAAUGGCAUUGGUGACUGCACGGCUAGAGUGUGUCAGAGGGGGGUAGAAUUCCACGUGAUAGCAGUGAAAUGCGUAGAGAUGUGGAGGAAUACCGAUGGCGAAGGCAGCCCCCUGGGAUAACACUGACGCUCAUGCACGAAAGCGUGGGGAGCAAACAGG
rnacentral:rRNA from 1 species